UAUCUCUGUAGAGUCUGCAUAUCAAUAAGCGGAGGAAAAGAAACUAACAAGGAUUCCCUUAGUAACGGCGAGUGAAGCGGGAAGAGCUCAAAUUUGAAAUCUUCAAGGUUUUACCUUGACGAAUUGUAGUUUAAAGAAGUGUUUUCUGUUGAAGUUUCGGUAAAAGUUCUUUGGAAUAGGACAUCAUAGAGGGUGAGAAUCCCGUAUUUGACCGUUAUUUUCAGCUGUGUGAUACACUUUCAAAGAGUCGGAUUGUUUGGGAAUGCAGUCCAAAAUGGGUGGUAAAUUUCAUCUAAAGCUAAAUAUUGGCGAGAGACCGAUAGCGAACAAGUACCGUGAGGGAAAGAUGAAAAGAACUUUGAAAAGAGAGUUAAACAGUACGUGAAAUUGUCAAAAGGGAAGCGUUUGACACCAGUGUUGUUUUCUCGAAAAUCAAUUAAAAAUGGCUUGAUUUUGUGUUGUAUUGACCUUAAAAGCUUUCUUCACUUUUUUCAUGUCUUUUUUAAUGCACUUUUCGUUUGACAAGUCAACAUCAGUUUCUUUUGUUGUAAAAAGGUCAUUGGAAGGUGGCUUUCUUUUCGGAGAAAGUGUUUAUAGCCUUUGACUUCUGCAAUCCGGAGGAGAUUGAGGUCUGCAGCGUAGAUCCUUCGGGGCUAGAUACGUAGAUGCUAAGUUAUAGUUUUUUAUAGACAACUUGUUGACUAUAAUUAAUCAUGUAGCUUACUCGUUUGCGCUAUUUUACCUACGCUUAGGAUGUUGAAGAUGUAGCACAUCAU
rnacentral:rRNA from 1 species